rnacentral:rRNA from 1 species
AGGGGGGUAGAAUUCCACGUGUACCACUGAAAUGCGUAGAGAUGUGGAGGAAUACCGAUGGCGAAGGCAGCCCCCUGGGCCAAUACUGACGCUCAUGCACGAAAGCGUGGGGAGCAAACAGGAUUAGAUACCCUGGUAGUCCACGCCCUAAACGAUGUCAACUAGUUGUUGGGGAUUCAUUUCCUUAGUAACGUAGCUAACGCGUGAAGUUGACCGCCUGGGGAGUACGGUCGCAAGAUUAAAACUCAAAGGAAUUGAC